UACUGCUGGCUACGCAGGCAGGCGGCCCUGCAGAGGAGGCUCAGUGCCAUGGAGAAGGGGAAAUUGCACAAGCCAGGAAAGGACGCGUCGAAGCGCGGGCGGCAGGUUAGCGGGACUUGGGGCCUGGACAAGAUGGGAAAGAGAACCCUGGGAGCCGCCGGGCAGCAGUGAGGGGUGGGAUGGGAACAGUCAAGCCCCAAUCGCUCGGUGACUGAUGUGUGCGCCCCUCCCCCAGACGCCAGUGCUGUAUGCAAUGCUGGACCACAGCAGAAGCACCAAAGCUGUCAGUGAGAAGAAGGCCAAGGGGCUGGGGGAGUCUCGCAAGGAUAAGAAAUAGCGGUUAGCGGGCCGGGCGGGGGGUCGGGGGUUAGGGGUGGAGCCCGCCAAAGGCCCAAAGGUGGUGGUCAUCGAGAUGGAGCUACGAAAGGAUGAGCAGAGCUCGGAGCUCCGGCCUGCUGUCAAGUCCCCCAGCAGAACCAGCCUCAAAAACGCCCUCAAGAACAUGAUGGGCCUGAACUCGGACAAGUGAUCACCACCCCCCACCCCAGGCCCUGCCACAGCAGGGGGACCUAGGCUCCUCUUACCCUCGUCUAGGUGCUUUCCCUCUUUGCUCCCCCGCCCUGCCCUGCCCUCACCUCCCUUUGAGAUGUAAGUUUCAUUCCAGAAUUCAUUCCCCAGGCAAUUGUAUUCUCCCCUACCUUCACCCCUGGCUUUCUGGGAGCCCAGGAGCUAAUCCUACCCCUCACCUGCCCCAGGGGCUGUGUGUUUGGUGCCUGUCCACCUGAGCACUGAGAAGAAAGGGACUUUGAUACCCUCUGCCUCAAGUCCAGGCAACCUGGCAUUCCCAUCUCCUGCAUCCCCCAGCCUGUCCCGCUGG
rnacentral:sRNA from 1 species